CAAUUCUUACCCUUGUUAUAUAUGAUGCAUACUGAUAGUUUCAUCCUAUUUUUUGUUUUCAUUUUUUCAGUGUUAGAUGCAAACUAUUAAAUUGAUUUUAUAAGCCACUACUGGGUCAUAGCCCACAGCUGCUGUGAAGAGGUCACUAGAGCCUCUAGCGGGCCAGGCCUGCCUUUUCCAGAGCAAGCCAGGCCGGGGCCCCACUGCAUCUGACCCUGACCUUCCUUCCCUCUCUCCCUGGGCCCCCAGCUGUCCAGGCACAAGGGGCCUGAAGGCUGACAUCAUUGCAGAGACAGAACUUCCCUUUUCCCCUCUUGGCCCCUCUGGGUCCUCCCCCAGGCCCUGGGCUGUCUGGAGUGUCCAUUUCCUGCCCUGUGGAGAUCCCUGGACUCACGGAGGAAAGUGGCCGCUAUAGCAUGUGGGGUAUUAUAAAGGAUACAGAUGAACAGCCAGAUGAAGAGGUACCUAGGGCAAGAGCCCGUGUACAGGAGCAUCUGUCCCUUUGGAACUGGGGUAUUCCACUCCCAACAUGUGCACCUCUCACCAACCUGGAAGCUCUUCAAACACCAUCCUUCUGGGUUUUUAUGGAGGCUUCAAUAGGAUGGUCAGUUACCUGGUAACGUGUCAUCUGAACAGGACUCACAGCUCUGGAGCUGGCAGCUGUAGACUGGUCUAAGUCAGC